UUGAAGAGUUUGAUCAUGGCUCAGAUUGAACGCUGGCGGCAGGCCUAACACAUGCAAGUCGAGCGGUAGCACAGAGAGCUUGCUCUCGGGUGACGAGCGGCGGACGGGUGAGUAAUGUCUGGGAAACUGCCUGAUGGAGGGGGAUAACUACUGGAAACGGUAGCUAAUACCGCAUAAUGUCGCAAGACCAAAGUGGGGGACCUUCGGGCCUCAUGCCAUCAGAUGUGCCCAGAUGGGAUUAGCUAGUAGGUGGGGUAACGGCUCACCUAGGCGACGAUCCCUAGCUGGUCUGAGAGGAUGACCAGCCACACUGGAACUGAGACACGGUCCAGACUCCUACGGGAGGCAGCAGUGGGGAAUAUUGCACAAUGGGCGCAAGCCUGAUGCAGCCAUGCCGCGUGUGUGAAGAAGGCCUUCGGGUUGUAAAGCACUUUCAGCGGGGAGGAAGGCGGUGAGGUUAAUAACCUCACCGAUUGACGUUACCCGCAGAAGAAGCACCGGCUAACUCCGUGCCAGCAGCCGCGGUAAUACGGAGGGUGCAAGCGUUAAUCGGAAUUACUGGGCGUAAAGCGCACGCAGGCGGUCUGUCAAGUCGGAUGUGAAAUCCCCGGGCUCAACCUGGGAACUGCAUUCGAAACUGGCAGGCUAGAGUCUUGUAGAGGGGGGUAGAAUUCCAGGUGUAGCGGUGAAAUGCGUAGAGAUCUGGAGGAAUACCGGUGGCGAAGGCGGCCCCCUGGACAAAGACUGACGCUCAGGUGCGAAAGCGUGGGGAGCAAACAGGAUUAGAUACCCUGGUAGUCCACGCCGUAAACGAUGUCGAUUUGGAGGUUGUGCCCUUGAGGCGUGGCUUCCGGAGCUAACGCGUUAAAUCGACCGCCUGGGGAGUACGGCCGCAAGGUUAAAACUCAAAUGAAUUGACGGGGGCCCGCACAAGCGGUGGAGCAUGUGGUUUAAUUCGAUGCAACGCGAAGAACCUUACCUGGUCUUGACAUCCACAGAACUUUCCAGAGAUGGAUUGGUGCCUUCGGGAACUGUGAGACAGGUGCUGCAUGGCUGUCGUCAGCUCGUGUUGUGAAAUGUUGGGUUAAGUCCCGCAACGAGCGCAACCCUUAUCCUUUGUUGCCAGCGGUUAGGCCGGGAACUCAAAGGAGACUGCCAGUGAUAAACUGGAGGAAGGUGGGGAUGACGUCAAGUCAUCAUGGCCCUUACGACCAGGGCUACACACGUGCUACAAUGGCAUAUACAAAGAGAAGCGACCUCGCGAGAGCAAGCGGACCUCAUAAAGUAUGUCGUAGUCCGGAUUGGAGUCUGCAACUCGACUCCAUGAAGUCGGAAUCGCUAGUAAUCGUAGAUCAGAAUGCUACGGUGAAUACGUUCCCGGGCCUUGUACACACCGCCCGUCACACCAUGGGAGUGGGUUGCAAAAGAAGUAGGUAGCUUAACCUUCGGGAGGGCGCUUACCACUUUGUGAUUCAUGACUGGGGUGAAGUCGUAACAAGGUAACCGUAGGGGAACCUGCGGUUGGAUCACCUCCUU
rnacentral:rRNA from 1 species